ensembl:lncRNA novel transcript
UCUCAGACUUUGCGGGUGUCUCUAGCCCUGGCUGGAUUCUGCUCGCACCCCCCACACCCAUCUGAGGGGGCAGUUCAGAGCUGGCGGAGCAAGGCACACCCACAGCUUUGUGGGGGCCCGGGGCUGUGAGCUUUGUCUGGGGCCUGUGGGAGAGAGCUUGGCUUGAGCUCUCCUGGCUCUCUCCACAAAGAGUCUUCUCUGGGGAAAGCUAUGAGGAAGAAGAAACAGAGCGCUCCCGGGAAAUGUUGAAAAAGCAGAGCCCCAUUCAUCACAGCACAGGUUGAAGAGACCAGCUCUCCCCGAUAUUGGCAGAAUUUCCAUCACAGGAAUAAGCUUUUGAAAAGCAAACUGACAGAUGAGAGCAGUGAAAUCCACUGAGUGGGCCGUGGAGAACAGCUGUGUUUGAGAGGCAUCUCAGCGAUGUGAAUGAGGCCAGGAGGAGCCAUGAAGACGGCACUGCCUGUGGGGCCCCCGAUAAAUGAUGGCACUGAGCAAUUGGCAGGACUGUGGGCAUGGGAGGGGUCCCUAGGCCCCACCCCCCUCUGCUCCUGUUUGUGUAAUUAACAGCCCGCUUCCUAUCAGGUGCUCUGCCUUCAGUGCUCUCUGCUGCGGCUCUUACCAGCGAGGACUGGAGGGGCGGCUCCUUUACCUGCCCUGUCCUGGUUUUUGCUCCCGCCUGCCCCGUGAGCCAGGGGAUGCACUCACAGCUGCUCUUUUUGAUGUAUAAAGUGUGUUUGAACAUUAUGCCAAAUAUCAAAAUGUGAAGGACUAAUCCAGGAUGCAAAAACGUUAUGGGGGGUUGUAAAUACGAACUAUACAACAGUUUAGGAUGCAAUUAUGAGUGUAAACUGUGUGCCUUAUUUAUACUUCAUUGUCUCCAGCUUCUCAGAUAAAGUUUUGAUGUGUUGUACAGU